GGAGAACUAGCAUAUGAUAGUGCUGGCAUAGAUGAAUAAUCUUGAUACUAAGGGUGACUCCCUCCCUAUGAUCUAGUCUGACCCUGUCUGUGCUACUCAGACCUAGCUCUCUUAUUCCCUCUUAUUCUAUCUCUCUCCUUAAUCUUGUCUGCCUCAAUCUAUUGGGCAUGAGUCAUCAGCCUAGAAAGAUUCAUCUAACUAUUUAGCAUAGCAAACCUAC
rnacentral:lncRNA from 1 species